AUUGAGCGCUGGCGGCAUGCCUUACACAUGCAAGUCGAACGGCAGCGGGGGAGAAGCUUGCUUUUCCUGCCGGCGAGUGGCGAACGGGUGAGUAAUACAUCGGAACGUGCCCUGUAGUGGGGGAUAACUAGUCGAAAGAUUAGUUAAUACCGCAUACGACCUGAGGGUGAAAGUGGGGGACCGCAAGGCCUCAUGCUAUAGGAGCGGCCGAUGUCUGAUUAGCUAGUUGGUGGGGUAAAGGCCUACCAAGGCGACGAUCAGUAGCUGGUCUGAGAGGACGAUCGGCCACACUGGGACUGGGACACGGCCCAGACUCCUACGGGAGGCAGCAGUGGGGAAUUUUGGACAAUGGGCGAAAGCCUGAUCCAGCAAUGCCGCGUGUGUGAAGAAGGCCUUCGGGUUGUAAAGCACUUUUGUCCGGAAAGAAAUGGCUCUGGUUAAUACCUGGGGUCGAUGACGGUACCGGAAGAAUAAGGACCGGCUAACUACGUGCCAGCCGCCGCCGUAA
rnacentral:rRNA from 1 species